rnacentral:rRNA from 1 species
UACAGAGGUGGCAAGCGUUGUUCGGAAUUACUGGGCGUAAAGGGCGAGUAGGCGGCCUUCUAAGUCAGACGUGAAAUCCCCCGGCUUAACCUGGGAACUGCGUCUGAUACUGGGAGGCUUGAGUAUGGGAGAGGGAUGUAGAAUUCCAGGUGUAGGCGGUAGAAAUGCGCAGAUAGUCAGGAGGAACACCGGUGGCGAAGGCGCCACUCUGGGCCGAAACUGACGCUGAGGAGCGAAAGCGUGGGGAGCAAACAGG